rnacentral:rRNA from 1 species
CUACGGGAGGCAGCAGUGGGGAAUAUUGGACAAUGGGCGCAAGCCUGAUCCAGCCAUGCCGCGUGAGUGAUGAAGGCCUUAGGGUUGUAAAGCUCUUUUGUCCGGGACGAUAAUGACGGUACCGGAAGAAUAAGCCCCGGCUAACUUCGUGCCAGCAGCCGCGGUAAUACGAAGGGGGGCUAGCGUUGCUCGGAAUCACUGGGCGUAAAGGGCGCGUAGGCGGCCAUUCAAGUCGGGGGGUGAAAGCCUGUGGCUCAACCACAGAAUUGCCUUCGAUACUGUUUGGGCUUGAGUUUGGUAAAAGGUGGGUGGAACUGCGAGUUGUAAGAGGUGGAAAUUCGUAGAUAUUCGCAAGGAACACCAGUUGGGCGGAAGGCGGGCCAACUGGGACCAAUACUGACGCUGAGGGCGCGAAAGGCGGUGGGGGAGCAAAACAGGGAUUAGAUACCCCUGGUAGUCCACGCCGUAACGAUGAAUGCUAGCCGUGUUGGGGGGUGCU